UACGUAGGGACCGAGCGUUAUCCGGAUUUAUUGGGUUUAAAGGGUGCGUAGGCGGCCUAUUAAGUCAGGGGUGAAAGACGGUGGCUCAACCAUCGCAGUGCCCUUGAUACUGAUGGGCUUGAAUACACUUGAGGUAGGCGGAAUGUGACAAGUAGCGGUGAAAUGCAUAGAUAUGUCACAGAACACCAAUUGCGAAGGCAGCUUACUAAGGUGCAAUUGACGCUGAGGCACGAAAGCGUGGGGAUCAAACAGG
rnacentral:rRNA from 1 species